GACAGAGGGUGCAAACGUUGCUCGGAAUUACUGGGCGUAAAGCGCGUGUAGGUGGAUUGGUGUGUCAGAUGUGAAAUCCCUGGGCUCAACCCAGGAACUGCACCUGAAACUACCAGUCUUGAGUGGUGGAGAGGGAAGUGGAAUUCCUGGUGUAGAGGUGAAAUUCGUAGAUAUCAGGAGGAACACCAGUGGCGAAGGCGGCUUCCUAGACACCAACUGACGCUGAGACGCGAAAGCGUGGGGAGCAAACAGG
rnacentral:rRNA from 1 species